rnacentral:rRNA from 1 species
AGAACGAACGCUGGCGGCAGGCUUAACACAUGCAAGUCGGGCGCCCCGCAAGGGGAGCGGCAGACGGGUGAGUAACGCGUGGGAACAUACCCUCCGGUUCGGAAUAGCUCAGGGAAACUUGGAUUAAUACCGGAUACGGCCUAGCGGCGAAAGAUUCAUCGCCGGAGGAUUGGCCCGCGUUCGAUUAGCUAGUUGGUGAGGUAACGGCUCACCAAGGCGACGAUCGAUAGCUGGUCUGAGAGGAUGAUCAGCCACAUUGGGACUGAGACACGGCCCAAACUCCUACGGGAGGCAGCAGUGGGGAAUAUUGGACAAUGGGCGCAAGCCUGAUCCAGCCAUGCCGCGUGAGUGAUGACGGCCUUAGGGUUGUAAACCUCUUUUAGUAGGGAAGAAGCCGCAAGGUGACGGUACCUGCAGAAAAGCACCGGCUAACUACGUGCCAGCAGCCGC